rnacentral:rRNA from 1 species
GACGAACGCUGGCGGCAGGCCUAACACAUGCAAGUCGAACGAGUGGCGGACGGGUUAGUAAUGUCUGGGAAACUGCCUGGGGGAGGGGGAUAACUACUGGAAAAGGUAGCUAAUACCGCAUACCAUCAUCUGUGCCCAGAUGGGAUUAGCGUGGUGGUGGGGUAACAGCUCACCAAGGAGACGAUCCCUAGCGUGGCUGAGAGGAUGACCAGCCACACUGUAACUGAGACACGGGCCAGACUCCUACGGGAGGAAGCAGUGGGGAAUAUUGUACAAUGGGAGAGAGUGUGAUGCAGCCAUGACGCGUGGUUGAAGAAGGUGUUCGGGUUGUAAAGUACUGUUAGUAGUGAGGCGUUAACAGCAGAAGAAGCACCGGCUAACUCCGUGCCAGCAGCCGCGGUAAUUC